rnacentral:rRNA from 1 species
UACGGAGGGUGCAAGCGUUAUCCGGAUUCACUGGGUUUAAAGGGUGCGUAGGUGGGUUGGUAAGUCAGUGGUGAAAUCUCCUCGCUCAACGGGGAGAGGCCAUUGGAAACGGUCGGGCUGGAGGGCAGUAGAGGUAGGCGGAAUUCCGGGUGGAGUGGUGAAAUGCGUAGAGAUCCGGAGGAACACCAGAGGCGAAGGCGGCCUACUGGGCUGCACCUGACGCUGAGCCGCGAAAGCUAGGGUAGCAAACGGG